CACAGGAUGGAUGCUGUGCUGAUGUUGGAUAGGGCAAAAUUAAGCUACUCUGGUGUCACUGGACCCAGAGAGCGCCAAAGAUUUAAGCCUGGAACCUGUUUUGAAUAUCAGGACACAAAGCCAUAAUAAUAAAGGUUUGUUGCAGUGGGGUGGGAACCUGAAGAGUAACAUGCUUUCAACACUGAGAAACCCCAGCCUUCUCCCAAAUACCUGGGACUGGGGACAGGACUUCAAGGAAAAAACAAGCCCACUCCCAUCCCCAUUAGCUCAGCUGGGACCAACUGCCAUUUGGCUCCUCCCCUGCCAGAACGGUCUCCUUCAACGGCCAUUCCACCGAGCUGCAUCGGAGUGAGAGGCAAGACGGGAAGGCCCCUCCAUUGGCUUGUCUGGGACCAACUGUCAUUUCAGCUCCUUCCCCUACAAAAAUUUUCUUUUGCAGUUCCAUUAGAGUAUCACCUUAGAAAUCUGAACUACAUACCCACCCACCCCCAAUUACCAAAAAAAAAGAAUUGCUGGGACAGAACACAAAUGAGGGAGAUGGUGGAUGUCCUGAAUCGGGGAUUGGAGGCCGUGAUGGGCUGGAUGUGGACUGAAUCCAGACAAGACGGAGCAUUACUGAACUGAAUGGUGAGUUUUAAAGUAAAUGACUUGGCACGAAGCAAUAAAGAUGCUCCUCCUCAUCCUUUCCGUACGUGGUUGGAGCAGACCAAAGCAUUCUGGAACUCCUCUUCCUCCAGCACGCCUGACUUCACCAUAGGACUGAAACGGAGCAUUCUGGAACGCCCUGCGGAACUGGAGAAGCGCGCAGUGCCUGCUGGAGCACAUUAUCCUACACACCUUGGCGUGGGGAAGAGAUUACCUGACGUGAUGGGUAGGGAAGGAGGCGCUGCGGAGCUGGAGCUUCUCGCAUACGCACAUUUGGAGCUGAAGAACGUUGGCUUGCCAGCCACGGUGUGGGGAAAUCUGCAGAGGCUCAUGCGGCCCACGGGCUUCUGAGACACGUGUUGCAUGCGGGCACAGGGCAGGCGGGGGUGGUGGUGGGGAGGACUGGAUGGGGCUGGCUAAAAAUAGCCUCGUAGGAUUGGCGGCGCUGUUCAAUUAAUGGCGCUGGCGGGGAUUGGACGAGGGAAAAGCACGGGGUUAGAACGAUGCCUCCUCCAUGCCGAGCAAGAAUGGUGCAAGCUCGGGGGUGGGGGGUGCACGCGCAAACCCUCGAAUAAGGGAGACGCAACGGGGAGUCCCAGCCUGCUGCUCUUCCCGUUGGGGUCUCGCGGGGAGCCUCUGGGCUAGCUGAGGAGGCGCCUUCUUCCUCCCCGGCAGCCGCACAGGGCCAGCCGACUCCCUCUGCUCCUGCACGCCACCGGCCCUACCUGGGCUCCUCCUCCUGUCGCCGCCGCCGCCGCCCUCCAUCCGCACUCCCAUGC